AGCGAACGCUGGCGGCAGGCUUAACACAUGCAAGUCGAGCGGGCGUAGCAAUACGUCAGCGGCAGACGGGUGAGUAACGCGUGGGAACGUACCUUUUGGUUCGGAACAACACAGGGAAACUUGUGCUAAUACCGGAUAAGCCCUUACGGGGAAAGAUUUAUCGCCGAAAGAUCGGCCCGCGUCUGAUUAGCUAGUUGGUGAGGUAACGGCUUACCAAGGCGACGAUCAGUAGCCGACCUGAGAGGGUGAUCGGCCACAUUGGAACUGAGACACGGUCCAAACUCCUACGGGAGGCUG
rnacentral:rRNA from 1 species